AUGCCUGAGGAGUACCGCAUGGUGGCUUGGAGAAGAAACCGAGCAUCUCCUGAACAUUCCUGAGAACGUGACUUGAAGUGUAAUGGAUGCUUGAUCGGUCCCUGAAGCAACUCAAUGACACAGUUCCAGUAUCACAGAAGGCCAAUUGAUUGGUCAGGCAGGAUCUGCCCUUGAUGAAGCCAUGCUGGUUAUCCUAUACCACCUCCUUCUCUUCUCAGCACCAUCACAUAUCUUCCAGGAGGAUCAGUUCCGUUAUCUUUUCUGGCACAGAGUCACCAAGGACUUCACCUGACCACCUAUUCAAAGAUCAUUGAGAGUGUCUUGGCAACUACAUUAGCCAAUUCCCUCAGGAUUCUUGGAUGCAUCUCAUCAGAACCCAUAGGCUUAUGGAUGUUCAGUUUCCUCAUUUGGUUGUGAACUUGAUCUUUAUUUACAGUGGGAGGGGCACAUUACUGCCCCCGUCCCCACCUUCCACCCAUUUGCCUGAAAGGUGUGUUAAGAGCAGUUAUUUCUAAAUCUCCCUGAAAGAAGUGCGUAUUAUUUCUACACUGCUGUGAAUUUCUUGAAAGAGCCAUCCUGCUCUAUCUCUCUGUGCUAUUGAUCUGUUUCUAUCCCUUUGGUCAGAUAGAGGGAACUUAAAUUAGAGAUUGCUAGUAAGGGAUCUAACAGAAGAGCUACUCCAAGAUUUCCACUGUGGGUCUUGGUAGAAUAGAGGAGAUUAAACUCAACAGUGUCAGCUAUUAUACAUUGGUUGGUUGGUGUUAUCCUUCCCUGAAGAGGCAGAUGCCAAGCUAGAUUAUAGAGGAAAAGGCAGUGUGACUAGAAACUUAACUGCAUUUAGCAGGCAAUAGUGAUCUUAGACAUCCUUUAGAAAAGCACCAUCAUCGUCAAACCCUUGAACUUUUGAUUCUUUGAGUCUUCAAAUAUACUAUGUCAACAGAGACUUCCUUUUUUAUUAUUAUUUAUUUAUUUAUUGUAGCAAAGAUGCUGAGGUAAUUUGCUUCAGUCACUUGUGUACAGGGACUAUUAAUCUGUGUUGUUUCUUCUGGGAAAUGGUGUUGUUAAACUGCAAUGAAUUUGUUUCUCAACUUCGAUAAAAUAAAAUAUUUAGUU
rnacentral:lncRNA from 1 species